GGAAGUAAAAGUCGUAACAAGGUCUCCGUUGGUGAACCAGCGGAGGGAUCAUUACCGAGUUUACAACUCCCAAACCCCUGUGAACAUACCACUUGUUGCCUCGGCGGAUCAGCCCGCUCCCGGUAAAACGGGACGGCCCGCCAGAGGACCCCUAAACUCUGUUUCUAUAUGUAACUUCUGAGUAAAACCAUAAAUAAAUCAAAACUUUCAACAACGGAUCUCUUGGUUCUGGCAUCGAUGAAGAACGCAGCAAAAUGCGAUAAGUAAUGUGAAUUGCAGAAUUCAGUGAAUCAUCGAAUCUUUGAACGCACAUUGCGCCCGCCAGUAUUCUGGCGGGCAUGCCUGUUCGAGCGUCAUUUCAACCCUCAAGCACAGCUUGGUGUUGGGACUCGCGUUAAUUCGCGUUCCUCAAAUUGAUUGGCGGUCACGUCGAGCUUCCAUAGCGUAGUAGUAAAACCCUCGUUACUGGUAAUCGUCGCGGCCACGCCGUUAAACCCCAACUUCUGAAUGUUGACCUCGGAUCAGGUAGGAAUACCCGCUGAACUUAAGCAU
rnacentral:rRNA from 1 species